CUACGGGAGGCUGCAGUAAGGAAUAUUGGACAAUGCCCGCAAGGGUGAUCCAGCCAUGCCGCGUGCAGGAAGACGGCCCUAUGGGUUGUAAACUGCUUUUACACCGGAGAAAACCCCUUUUCGUGAAGAGGGCUGAUAGUAUGGUGAGAAUAAGCAUCGGCUAACUUCGUGCCAGCAGCCGCGGUAAGACGAAGGAUGCAAGCGUUAUCCGGAUUCAUUGGGUUUAAAGGGAGCGUAGGUGGACUGAUAAGUCAGUGGUGAAAUCUCUGGGCUUAACCCAGAAAUUGCCAUUGAUACUGUUGGUCUUGAGUACAGUUGCUGUGGGCGGAAUAUGACAUGUAGUGGUGAAAUACAUAGAGAUGUCAUAGAACACCGAUUGCGAAGGCAGCUCACAAAGCUGUAACUGACACUGAGGCUCGAAAGUGCGGGGAUCAAACAGGAUUAGAUACCCCAGUAGUC
rnacentral:rRNA from 1 species